GGGAGGGAGAGCCCCAACUCCUACCUCCUCUGCUGAGAACUGUCCCUGGGCCACUCCGAGGAGGGCUGCCGAAGGGGCGAAGGAAGAGGCUAAGAGCAGCAGCGGCAGCCAGCAUGGGGCUCCCACCGCUGUAGCCAUGGCAACUUUGGAGAACUUUUCAGCAAGGAGUCUUUGCUGCCACCGCCCCUCUCAUGUGAAUUGACACCAUUGGGAAGAAUCAAGCCUAUUCAAAUUCAUUGUAAAACUGCAUAGACUCCCUAGGACCCAGAGGAGCCUUAGAACCCCACAGCUGCAUCAUUUUUACAAGGCAAUCCCAAAAGGUGAAGACAGAAAAUAGAGAAAGGAUCUAUCAGAGUGGGGAUCAGAAAAGGAAACUCCUUUGUAAGGAUAUGUAAGAGCACCAAAUCUUGUUAUCUAUCUGCUUCAUAUUUUAAUUUAUCACUAUUUCAUGGUCUUGUAUGAUGUACUAUCCAUGAUAUGAUUCCAUAUCAUGAAAAUUCUCCUGUUGUCCAAAUGUUGUCCAAAUGUUUGUAUUACCUAAUGUCCCAAAGUCUUUUGAAGUGAGCAGUUUUUAUUAAUAAAUAACAUUUAAAUUGUCAUUACUGUCAUGGUACAAUUAAGUCUGUGAACAGACAUUUGCGAUGGAGGGCGCUGUUGAUUAGUAUGUGUUCAACACACACAAUUAUGACUGGGUGGGUUUGGAUUUAGGCAGUAGUUUGGUCACAAUGAGUCUAGAGAACAGCUUAGAUAACAGUCUACUCUUGCUGAGCCCACUCUUUUCCAAAAUCAUCAUCUUUGUCUGACACAUCUUUCUCUGUUUCUAUAAUUUGACAUAUUUCUCCAAACAAUUUGUCUGUAGUUGCUUCUCCAACAUCUCAUUUUAUCAUAUCUCAUAGCUCUAUGAAGGAGGUUAAGACGAAAAGGUGAUGUCAGACCUAAGAUCAUCCAGUGAGUUUCAUGGCUAAAUGGGAUCUUGAACUUGGGUCUUCCCAGUCUUAGCCUAACAAUUAUAUUGAAUCUUGGUUAUUCUUCGUAGCCUUUACCUCUGCCAUCUCCUGACCUCUACUUCUCUUUGAACAUUUGUAGCUUAAUUUUCUAUGAUUCUGUUCCUGAUUAUGCUGUUGCUACAUUUAUAACAUUCUGACUUUCUUCUUCUUUUCUCUUCAACACUAGCAUAGGUUGGCCUAAAUCCUAUUACUUGUACAAACUAUAAUAUACCAAUUGAAUCAAUUGAAUUAACUAUGUAUUAGUUUUUCAUUUAACAACUGAAUUGACUAACAGGACAUUAGUGAUUGUGUUUUUCAUUAGUGCCAGGCACCCAAAAUACUCUCAUCACUUCAUCCGAGUUGAAGAGAUGUGCCUUGAGUUAAUAAAGAAAACUAUUAGUCUGCAUAAGCUUUGUUUUAAGCCUCCUUAAGACCCAAACAAAAAAGCUAAUUCCCAGGUACAACUGCUACAUUAACACCACAGAACAAACAAAAAAGUUACGCUGAAGGCUCAACAAAUGCUUGGCAUACACAUGAAAACAAAUUUUAGUAACUACAGUAGAGUCUCACUUAUCCAAGCUAAAUGGGCCGGCCAAAGCUUGGAUAAGCGAAUAUCUUGGAUAAUAAGGAGGGAUUAAGGAAAAGCCUAUUAAACAUCAAAUUAGGUUAUGAUUUUAGAAAUUAAGCACCAAAACAUCAUGUUAUACAACAAAUUUGACAGAAAAAGUAGUUCAAUACGCAGUAAUGUUAUGUUGUAAUUACUGUAUUUAUGAAUUUAGCACCAAAAUAUCAUGAUAUAUUGAAAACAUUGACUACAAAAAUGGCUUGGAUUAUCCAGAAGCUUGGAUAAGCGAGGCUUGGAUAAGUGAGACUCUACUGUACAUGAGCCUUCAGAUCUCUUUAUUUACUCUUGUUUUUCUUAUCCACUUUCUUCUGGUUUGGUCUCCAUACUUUCAGAGGGAGAAAGGCAGUGAUAUUUUGGGUUCCCACUAAUGAGAGAGUAGAUCCAGGGAAUGGUAAGGGGGAAAAAAUUUUUACAGCAUCUUUUCAUGUGUCUACUCUAGAGUGCUGUUCAACCUCUCAGACCAGUGUGAGAACCUACUCUCUUUGCUUUCUUCCUAAAAGGGAAGUACCUCACAAUCUGAAGUACCACAAGACAUGCAGUUUGGUCCAGUUUUCCAGGUGAUAUUUUUCCUGCCAUAGAUGUCAAUAGAGUGGUCCCCUGAUAACCACUGGGGUUCCAGGAAUACCAACAUCCAUGAAUGCUCGAGUCCCAUUAUAUACAAUUGCAUAAUAAAAUUGUAUCUUUUAAUAAUAA